CCCUUAGAUGUCCUGGGCCGCACGCGCGUUACACUGAUGCAUUCAACGAGCUUAUAACCUUGGCCGAGAGGCCUGGGCAAUCUUGUUAACGUGCAUCGUGAUAGGGAUAGAUUAUUGAAAUUAUUAAUCUUGAACGAGGAAUUCCUAGUAAACGCAGAUCAUCAAUCUGCAUUGAUUACGUCCCUGCCCUUUGUACACACCGCCCGUCGCACCUACCGAUUGGAUGGUCCGGGGAAGCCUCGGGAUUGUGGUUCUUGCCGCUUUAUUGUGGCGUGACCGCGAGAACUUGUCUAAACCUUAUCAUCUAGAGGAAGGUGAAGUCGUAACA
rnacentral:rRNA from 1 species